AGGAAGGCAGCAGGCGCGCAAAUUACCCAAUCCUAAUACAGGGAGGUAGUGACAAGAAAUAACAAUUCAGGACUUUUUGGUUUUGUAAUUGGAAUGAGUUAAGUAUAAACCCCUUUACAAGUAUCAAUUGGAGGGCAAGUCUGGUGCCAGCAGCCGCGGUAAUUCCAGCUCCAAUAGCGUAUAUUAAAGUUGUUGCAGUUAAAAAGCUCGUAGUUGGAUUUCUGUUAAUAAUUUAUAUAAAAUAUUUUAAUUAAUAUUUAUAUAAUAUUAACAUAAUUCAUAUUACUAUAAUUAUUUUUUAGUAUAUGAAAUUUUACUUUGAGAAAAUUAGAGUGCUUAAAGCAGGCAUAUGCCUUGAAUACUCCAGCAUGGAAUAAUAUUAAAGAUUUUUAUCUUUCUUAUUGGUUCUAAGAUAAGAAUA
rnacentral:rRNA from 1 species